AGCUUUGUGCAGUGGCAGUAUCGUAGCCAAUGAGGUUUAUCCGAGGGGCGAUUAUUGCUAAUAGAG
rnacentral:snRNA from 1 species